rnacentral:lncRNA from 1 species
CUUUGAUCUGACUGGUUUGUCUCGUGUUCACUUGCUGUUUCCUUGCUUAGUUAUCUGAUGCUUAAGAUACAUCCCCAUUACAGUGAUUUACUUCUGCUGUGGGCUAUGUGUUUGACUUUUGUGGGGCUUCUCUAUGGGUCCCCAGCUGGAGCUGUCAUUGCUUCUCAGCUGUUUGCAAUGAGUGCUGCUCUGCAGGUGGCUUAUGCGGGAGGCCCAGAGUAGGUUCCUGCUUGUGGCUAUUGAAUAGAAGUUACUGGGAAUGCUAGGGCUGUCAGCUUUGUGCAGAUCUCUUCCUACGGAGACUGGAGUUCAUUUAGAAGCAUGUGCUUUAAAAAGGAUGCUAAAACUGGUGCUAAGGAGGCUUGUAUAAAUCCUGUCCAGGCUGAAGGAUCAAGAUGGAACCAGGGAAGGUCUUCACUUACAGCCAGGAGCAGUUUGGGCCAUAGAAGGGAAUGGACUGACACAAACCUCUCAGAUGUCCAGGGUGGCCCUGCCAGGUCCUGUCAACCGAAGGCUUUGUGGUCUGAGACACUGUGGCAUCGAGUUCCCCGUGCACCAUGGGAAAUCUUCAUAAUGCUUGACUGUAUUAGAGGAUGGAUCUUUGUUACAAUCUCUGCGUUAUAAAUAGAAAAGCAGGCUUAGUAAAUUUACAAAAAUUCAAAGAACUAAAAGUCUGCUGAUAAGAUUUCACAAGACUAAUAGCAACAAAAUAAAUGUUUUACUACUCUAAAAAUUACUGCUUCA